UUUAAAUUGCACCCACUUUCAAAUCAAAUUGCACUUCUUCUCUUGUUGCAACAUCAGCUAUUUCGAACCACAAAUGCAUAUAUUAGAUUCCUAUAUAUGUUCUCUUUGUUUUCUUAGUUAUGUAAUCUAUUCAAUUGCAAUACUUGCCAAAAAUAAUUGCAAUGCUUCCUCUACUGCAAUCCUAGCUUUAUACGCAAUUUUUGCUAUUUAAGUGCUUGAUAUUUAUUAGUUGGUGGUGAUGGUACGGUGGUCGCGGUACGUCACUUCACCGAAAUUACAAAUCUGCCACCGCCGUCCCCACGCGCUUUUUAAUCCCGGCUCCCGCGGUCCUUAAACGCAGAAAAAACACGUGCCGCCCAAAAAAGAAAAAGAAAAAGAAAACAGAGCCCUCGCUCCUCCUCUCCUACGAAUCUCACCCCCACCCCUGCCCAAUCCGGAUCUCGCCAGCACCC
rnacentral:lncRNA from 1 species